CAACAUAAUGCCACCAUCAUCAAAGAAAGCGACGUGCAGCUAUUUGAUAAUGAAAGAGGCAUACACUGAUAUUAUAACAAAAGGAAUUGCUAUCAGACAAUCAGCAAUAAAUCAUGGCCUUCCAGAAGCAACCUUGCGAUGGAGAUUGGCAAAUUGAAAAGAUGUUCACCGUGGACGUCAUACAAUGUUUACUAGAGUACAGGAAGAAAUUCUGUCCCAGCAUUGUGUUUUCAUGGUUCACAUUGGAUAUGUUUUUUCAAGAUGGUAGAUCUUAGAUAUGGCUAAGAACAUGGGGGCGAUUUUGUUUGUGCAUUGCAAAUGAACCUACAAAACACUGGUUUUAUGGUUUUCUGAAGCGAUUUCCAGAUGUCAAGAUGGUACCCCAUAAAAGCGUGAAAAGGAACGAGAUGCUGCUGUAACCAAAGAAAUGCUCAAAAAGUACUUUACGGAGCUUGAGCUCACUUUAGAUAAACAUGACAUCAAGAACAAACACAUGGAAUGUUGAUGAGGCCGGUGUUUUACUUGAUCACAACCCACCAAAAAUAUUAGCUAAUGUUGGCAGUAACCCCCACUGUAUUUCAUCAGGGAAUUCAGCCACAACCACCAUCGUUGCUGCACUUGCGGCAUAAUGGCAGUUUGCGAGUAUCGUGAAAGAAUGGACUUCGCACAGUUGACGAAUGACGAACUUUAUAAGAGAUACUGUAUCAACCAUGCCACUUUGGCACAUAUUAUUGCCCAGCUUGAUGCUGCCUUAGCACCCAAUACUGAUAGGAGCUACAGCCUAUCUACUGGCUACAAAGUAAGGUGAUCUUCACUCCGUAGCUCAAUCCAGUGUUUCGAGAGCAGUCACUCAAACACUUGAUGCGCUGAGCUCCCCAAAUGUUGUUAGUAGACACAUUAUAUUCCAAACAACCAUCGAGUAAUUGAACAACAAAAAACAAGGAUUUUUUCACAUUGCUAGAUUCCCAAACGUGAUCGGCGUCAUAGAUGGGACUCACGUACAGAUUCAGGCACCAUCUAUUUAUUAACCGACGUACGUUAACAGAAUGGUUUACCAUUACAUCAACACACAGCUGCUUGUGUCGAGUGCGAUACGUAUAGUCAUUUACUGCCUUAUUAACACCCACCUGCAUCGGAUGGAUGUUAUUUUGCAGUGUCCGUCACACUUUUCAGAGCUGUUUCACGAUUGUGUUUGAUCAUAAUGAUAUGAUCAUGGACAUUGUCGCUAGAUGGCCAGAAAGUACCCAUGAUUGAAGAAUCCUUCCAGGAAGUGGGUUGUGGCAAGUGUUCGAAAGAAACCUGCUUAAACAGAAUGACCACUUUCUUUUGGGUGAUAGUGGGUAUCCGUGCAAACGAUGGCUGAUGACGCCUUAUGUAAGACCUGCUAAUAACGCUCAGGAAACGUA